GGUUGUGGGUUCUUUUUGUGGGGAUAAAUAUGUUCAACAUGAGAUAGCAGUGAUGAUGUGCAGUGUGUUGAAAGCUAUGGGAGCGUGCACUUCAGAAAGGUGAAUUUUAUGAUAGGUGAAUUUGAUCUAAUUAUUUCUAUCUAAGUACAAAUGUUACUAUGUCUCUCUAUUGAUAUACAUAUAUCUAUAACUCUAUUUAUCUAUGAUCUACCUAUCUAUCUACCUGUCACUUAUCUAUGUUGGACAUCACUAUUCUUCAUCUCAUCAUUGUUAGAAGUGAAAAAAGCCACCCUGCUCUGGUAGAUUCCACAGGCCAAACUGUUCUACAAGACAAAACUAUGCAUUCUUUGUAAGGAAAAAUGGCAAUGCACACAUGCAACUCUGAUUUUUAAACAUUUUUAUUUCUUUUUUUUCACUAUAAAAUUUUUCAUGUGAUAAUGUUCCCAAGAAAUUCCUAGCACUCUCACAGAAGAUGUGACUGUCUUAUUGUAAAGGACUCUGACUAAUUGUCAUUCCCUCUCUGUUCUUGCUGUUUUUUUGUUUUUGUUUUUGUUUUAAGUUUAAUUGGGAGCCAACUCUGCUGGCUUCCAAGCUCUGUCACUUAAUCAAGUCACAGAAUCUACCAUUAAGCUAGUCCUCUCUUUCCUUUCAUUUAUUCCUCCAAAUUCUUAAUCUCAAAUAUUAGAGUCAAAAGAAAGUGAAGGUUCUUUCCUUCAUAUUUGAAAGAGGAGGAUCUGAUCUAGGGAAUUCUAAACAAAAACGGUGGUUAUAAAUUUGUUAUAAGGGUGUUUCCGUCUGUUUCUCUCGGAACAGACAGCAUGCUUAAAUUGGAUCCUCUGUGAGGGUAUAAAAAGUUGUACACAGAGCCUGGGAAACACAAGGAAUGAUAAGGGAUUCCCCUUGGGUCCCUUCCUGUCCUGGGGCUGCAGGUGCAGAGGGAAGGUGGACUUAAUCUCUUCAAAGAGACAAGACCAUUGGCAGGAGUCAUGGCCUUGUGAAGACCCUCCAGGAUAGAAGGCAAAGGAGUAUAACCCCCAGCUCACUCCCUACUCUCUCUUAAAAUUGCUCAAGUGACCAGCACUGUCCAAGCAAACUGUAUGCUGAGUCAGGAGAUUCUGUUUCACCUAGUUACAGGGGUCGUGGAGAAGGAUGUAGCAUUGAUGUGAAGAGCGAGAGAGGGUCCCUGUCAUAGUACACGUUAGAAAUCCCCCACAUUCUGAAUGUUACUCCCAGUUCCACAGAGAACCACUUAGGACUCCAUAUGCUUUAUCAACAUCAUCUAAUUUAUUCUACAAAAUAAUUUAGUCACAUAGGACUUUUUAUUUUUUUUCUACUUUUUCAAUGAGGACACACAAGUUCAGGGAGAUUACUUGCCCAGAAUUUCAGAGAGGUCUUGGAAGAACCAGGAUUUCAUUCUAGGUCUGGUUGACCCCAAAGGCAUGUUCUUUUCCUUGUAUGAAGUUGAUACUCACCUUAACAAAGUACAGUUGUCCAGCAUCAAAUGUUUCUUGUUCCUCAUAAAACUUACUGAAAAAUAACAAAAGGAUGUCCAAAUUGCAAUACCUUGUCUUUUAAUCACAGGGCCAAGUAAACUCAUUCCAUGGGGCAGGUAGGGAAUAAAAUACCUGAGAAAGUCAAGCAUGUGGACUGCAAGGGUGUAAUGAAAUGUGUACCACUACUGCAUGUUCUCUCCUCCGAAUGUCAAAGAGGUGAGAUGGGGUGAUGAGAGACCUUAAAGGAUCCCUUUGUCUAGAGAUUUGAUGUAUGUACCAAAUAUAUUCCAGCAAUUAAACAUGAGUUUAUUAAAUAUGUUUGAGCUUGUAAAAUGCCAUCUUGAAAGAUGGAUGAGAUUUUGAAAAAUAAUAGACAGCUAGUUUCUGACCUCAGAGAGCCCAGCCCUCUUUUUAGGCAACAAUCUACUGUAGGUGAGAGGCAAGAUAGCUAAAUGGAUGAUAAAUGGAUACAUGGAUGGAUGGAUGGAUAAUAUUUGAUGCAUGGAUGGAUGGGUGGAUAGAUGGAUAGAUAGGUAGGUAGAUCAUAGAUAGAUAAUUGUAAUUGAUAGAUAAAAGAUAAGUAGAUAGAUAAUAGAUAUCUGAUGGAUAUAUGGAUGAGUGAAUGGAUAGAUGAAUAGGUAGGUAGAUGAUAGAUAGACAGUGGAUAGAGAGUAGAUACCUGAUAGAUGGAUGAGUGGAUGGAUAGAUAAGUAGAUAAUUGACAGAUCAAUAAAAAGGUAUACACAUAUAUGCUGGGUACCCUCUUUCAACUAUUUAUUCAUUUGCCUGAUCACUAAAUAGUUGUCAAGUACUAAUAGUAUAUCAGUUACUGGGUAUUUAAAGAUAAAGUAUAUGUAGUCAUUGUCCUAUGGAGUGAACAGUCUAGUAGUGAAUUCAUAGAGAGAGACAGAUACUGAUAACUCGGUGAAUACUACUUACAGAUCUCUGCACAACAUACUUUUCACAUAUCACACAAGGAGAGCUGCUGAAUCUAGAGAUUAAAGGUAAGAUAUGAUUAAAUUUUAAUUUAUUUAAUUUAGAUUAUAAAUGCUAGAGAUGCUAUUAAUUAAUAGAUGUAGAUCAGUAUGGGUUGAGGUAGCUGGCAAAGUCCUCCAAAAGUGUUGGAAACUGAGCCCUGAAAAAUGAAAAUGUUUGGAUGGUUGGAAAGACAAAGAAUUUUAUUAUUGGCUUCAGGAAUAGACCAUGGAUUCCUGGCUCAUUAAGGGUGUUUAAUAAAGGCAAAGAUAGUAAAUAAGGAACACUUUUUUGUAACAAGAAUGACAACAAAGAUUAAAAUUCUGCGUGCAGGAAGAAAGUGCUACAAAAGAAAUGAAUACAUCAAAGGCAAAACUUUAAAUUGUCAUCCCACCAUAUAUACAAGUGGGCUAUUUAUAGACAACUCACUGGCAACCCCAGGCACCAGAGAAAAGAGCCUUUCCAUCUCCAUUUCCAAUUAUUGUACUAGAACACUUCAAAGUAAGCAAAUCUAAAAUCCAAUCCAGGCAGUAUGAGCUUUGGGAACACAAGGGGUUGUGUCUCUUUUGUUAAGAGGAUUUCAGAGGAUGGGGAAGACAGGAAAGGUGGCACUUAAAGGCAGUUGUUCUAUACGACAGAAUUUUCAUGGUAAAGCAGCACCAUAGGAAUCCUCUCUCUUCUCAAGCAACAUCAUCUCCAGACCAGACAUGUUUAUAAAGGGGCAGGACAGUAUGCUAGUGCUCCAUCUUUCCAAAGCAAGCAACUGGCUUGUGUGCUCAGGGCAAGCCAACAUGGCCAUCUUUGCUGCAGUCGUUGACUUUGCCUUUGAAUAACUGUGUCCCAAGAGAUCCCCAGAGCUACCGCCUCUUCUCCUAUCACUUCACUGAACAGAGAUCUCUAGAAAGGGAUAGCAGUAUCUUCCUUUAAAUGUCUCCUGAAAGAGAACUUCCACCAACAAUGUGGCCAGGUAACAUACUGUAAAAUCUUUAAAAAGGAAGCAGCAGAGUUUCUUAGAGCAUAUUAAUAAGAUGACAACUACAAAAACUGAGAAGUUCAACAGAAAGAUAAAUAUGAAAAUUUAAACCAAAAAGUAAAUCAUCAGUGAAUUUAGAUAUGUUCCUUUUUAACCAAAAGGAAUGAUCCUCAACAAAAAGUGAGUUCUAGUUUGUAUAGUCCCUGAGGUCAGAACCAGAAUUCUUCCACAGAUUCGUAAAAACAUCAUUGAUCACAAGCAAAAAAUCAGAAGAAACAAAAGAUCACAGGAAAUAAAAUAGCUAAUAAACAUCUUAAAAAAAAAAAACAAACAGAAUCCUGAGAACGUUAGAUGAAUUCCUAUUUGUUAACCAUAUUCAUCUCCCCUCCCCAACCCUAUCACAGGAAUAUCCGUGGCUGCUUUCUGUAGCAUGACAGACCCCCAGCUCCUUUUUUAAAUCCUCAUUUUACUCAGACCUUAUUCUCUCCAGAUUCCCUUGGCCAUAGUCUCUCUAAUCUCAUCCCCACUCCCCAAAUUUGCUCCCGAUCUUUUUUCACACUAAUUAAUCAGGUGGUCUAGCCACUGACCCAGGCUGGAUCUAGCAUUUGCUGUAACUAUUUCUCCCCCUCAUCCUCUGACUUUAAUUGCCUUUCAAGUCCUACCAAAUAUACAUCAUACACAUUCCUUGAAAAUAGCUCCUGUAUUCGGUCUCCCCCAUCAUUCCACUAGUUGAGACCCUCACCUCUUUUCAUGAAAUAUUGUAGCAGCCUUCUUACUAAUUUCUCCCUGUUUCCAUUUUCUCCUCCCUUGGGUAUAUUUUCCAGGCAGGCACCAUAUUUCUUGCUCCAAAAUAUAAAUAUUAUAUCUUUGUUUAUAAACCUUCCUUGGUGUCUACAGUAUUAAAUCAUACCACCUUAGCCUUUGAAACCCAUCCCCAAGUCCUGAUGUCCUACCACCCCAUGUGUAUAUCCUCUGCCCCCAUCAGCACACACUCUGUUGCUCAUUAUGCCUUAAAUACUCCUCCCUACAAUUGUUAUUCCCUCCACCUGGAGCAUCAUCAUCACUUAUAUGUCUACGUCAUGCCUUCUCUUUCUCUGGUCCCUGUGACGUAUAAACAAGUUCGUUCUUUACUAAUUUUCAGAGCCAAGCUUUGCACUGGGGGUCACCGUGGGCAUCCCCUUAGUGAAACACACACUGUGUGCUAUAUGAAACUUUCAAGAUAUGUAAACCUCAAAAUAGAUCACACACAAGUAAUGAAACUUCCCCUAAAACAUUGCUCACAGCUUCUCUACCUUGUGAUAAAAAUGGUCCACUCUUUGCAUGCUGCAUCUUAAUUAAUUUCUUGGAACACAUACGACAAGAGGUGUGCAGCAAAUCAAUAGAAUAAUAUUUUUAGUGAAAUAAUGAUUCUAUACCAUCUUCCCUCUCCAAGUCUUCCUGCAGAGGUCACAUAUUACGUAUUUCUGAUACUUUUGAGAAAUAGAAGAUAAAUUUUAACUGUAUGGGGAUGAACCUCUGGUCUAAGUCCUGUACUUUGCCCAGUUUCCCAGUGAGACUGCGCCCUAGUUGCCCACAGGGUUCAGUUGCUUAGUGAUGCACUGUUAAUGUGCUUCUUAUCUCCCCUUCUUUCUCUCCUUAUCUCCUCUGGUCCUGCCUUUCUGCUGUUUCUCAGCAUCACCUCCAAAGUAACCUAUUCACUCUCAAGUCAUUUUCUUAGACUCAACGUAGGAGGAAACCCUGCAGGACACAUAAGAAUAGCUGAGAAUAUUCUCAGAGAAUAAUUGCAUUUUUCUAGGGGUUUUUAACCUACAGAAAUUAAAUGAUUUGUUUAUGCUGUGAUGGGAUAUUAAAGGUAGUGUUUUUGAACAGGAGCAUGAGUAUAUUCAUGUGUGGGUGUCUGGAUUUCAGUAUCUCUUGGCUGAAGUGGUUCCUUUUCCAAUUAACUACAAUAGCAUCUCCCUUGUUCCCAAGGCUGUUUUGUUAGAACCAUUUAGUUGAUGAUGGAUUUGCACAUGGAUCAGGGAAGCUAGAUCUGUAAGUUAAAAGAUUCAAGAUGCCAAAUCUUUAGACUGUGCUCUUCGGAGGGUGAAUUGAACCCAUGUAAAGUACAAACACAUCACCAGUUAGGGUUCUUCUUAGAAGGAAGUAUUUAAAGGGUUCUAAAUGAUUCCACUUACUCUAUUUUUCUGUAGUUCCUUAGAUAAAAGAAAAUGUAAAGAAACCUGGUUUAUUUGAACUUUGAUUCAUAUAGAAUUAGAAAUUGCAGUGGGUCUUGUAUUUCUUACACUAGUCAAAAUGCUGGCUACAAACUGGGAUCUUUCUGUUCACAUCUCCAGAGACUUAUCUUCAUAUAUUUAUUCAGCUACCCUCCACUCUUAUUCAAGUGCUGUUGUCAGCAGGCAAAGCUGUGCGUGUAAAGUAUGUGGUGCGAUAAAUAAGAAGGUGAUAAAGGGAAAAACUUAACCGCUAUAAAUGGAAGUCACAGUACAGUUAAUUUGAAACAGAGCAGUUAAAAUUAAGCUCCAAAUAAACAGCACAGCUUUUUUUUUUUUUCUGGGAAGCUCCUUUAUCAGUUUUCCAUAUAUUCAAUUUUAAUUUUUUUAUUUGUCAUGAGUUUAUAUAAUGUAUGUACACAUUUUUUGGCAUGUGAAUCAAGAGAAAGUCAGCCUCCUUGAAGUGAUUUAUUCUUUAUCUUUUUAUUUAUCCUUUCCUAUAAUGGUGCUAAUUGCUUCUUCUUCUUAAGUUAUUACUUGAACUAAUUUAGAUAUGAGAAAGAGAAAAAAGAAAAAAAA
rnacentral:lncRNA from 1 species